UUUUACUAGGCCUAAAAUACUAAGGCAGGCCGAAACUGAAAAUCAAAUACCCAAGUUUACAAUGCAAAGCCCAGAAUACCAAGGCACAGCCCAAUUUGAAAUGCCCAAAUUAAAAAUCACACACCCACUAUAAUCGCUACCUGAAUACCUCCAACCAUAUUCAAGUGAAUUGGAGAAAAUUGUGGAUCGAGGGAAGAUGAGGAAUCGACGGCUACGGUGAUGACAGACGUCAGCGCUGUGAGGAUGACCGGUGGUUGGGGUAGCCGACUGGUGGCUUGCUGUCGAUCGACGACGAUAAGGAGUCGUAGUUUUGGUACUGUUGGUGGUUAUUGUGUAGCUUGGUGAUAGGCACGAUUUGUGCAAUCGCGAAUUGCAGAUGAUGGUGGUUGGUGCAUUGACUGUAUGGGACUCCGGAGACAAGAUAACGAAUAACUCGUUGUGUUUUCUCAGAUUUUCUUCCUGUCUAUCCCACUAAAACAUAGAAUCUGAAACAUUUU
rnacentral:lncRNA from 1 species